GUGCUCAUGUCAGGACAUAUACUAAAAUUUGGAAGGUACAGAGGUUAGCAUAGUCUCUGUGCAAGGAUGAUACACAAAUUCAUGAAGCAUUUCAUAGCUUG
ensembl:snRNA U6 U6 spliceosomal RNA